rnacentral:lncRNA from 1 species
AGAUUAUUCUUUGAUUGAAUCCUACUUCUCAAAAAAAACCAAAACAAAACAAAACAAAAAACCUCCCCUAGUUCAUUCCCAAAACCUGUUCUAGCUCUACUUUAAAACACAUUUUCAACCUGUACUUAAACAGCCCCGAAAAAGAAGUGAUGUUUCUCUGACACUACAUUCAGGGUUUCCUGCUCUGCACAGAGCAUUCCCGGCAGGCAUUUCUCGGCGAGACAAGUUGCUGGGAGGAUUUGAACUCGAUGUCAAGAUCCGUCCGUGCUUCGAGGCACAGCGUCCCGAUCUCGCCCGCUCCCAGCGGCCGGGAGCAGCGGGAUAGCAGAUACGUAAGGAAACGAGAUGAACACAACGACCUCACAGCACGGCGGGGACAGCGGGCGUGCACCGCUCGAUCCCGCCUAGCUGCCCCAAACGACAGCAUCCCGGCAAAAGGGAAGGCUCGGCAGCGGAGAGGUGCAGCAAAGCGGGAACAGCCGGGACACAGCGGGGCUGGACCCGCGGCUGAGGUCUGAGCUGUGUGUCACCAACAGUUUGGUCUUUCUGCUCAUUUUAAAUGCACGAGGAGUUAAACAAAUGAUGGACUCGACUGCACAUCAUAGAGCAGGCACUUUGCUUGGCCUCAUCGGAAGCAGAGAGAGCUCCAGUUUGGGCAGGGGGAGAUGCUGAGGAAACCUAAUCCAGAAAAACACUUCGACACAACUUCAUCUUGAAGCAUAUAAAUAGUCCCACUGAAAUCUAGGAAAUACUCCUGUGCUUAAGGUUAAGGAUUCCCUUAAGUGCUUUGUUGGGUCAGUACCAAGAUGAUUAUUUACAAAGCGCUGUCAAAAACGUUGGACACCAAGAAGAAGCUUUUUCUGAUAAAAUCCUUUGGCUCAGAAUGUCCUGUGUGACUGCUCAGAACUGCAGCAAACAACAUUUUUCUGAGAGAUGGGACCAUUCCAUUAAAAAAUUUCCAUCUAGACCCAAGAGUAACAGGUGGUUCUUUGUUUUGUUGCCUGAAAAAAUAUUCAACACCAGGUGAUCUCUUAAGAGCUCAAAUGUUAUCAUCACAGUCCUGCAGAACUUGCCAGGAACAGAAACAAUCAUUUUUCCCCAUUAAUCUUUAGUAAAAUGAGGCCAGUAACACAGUUGAGUCUGACAGUUUUGCUUCCAUUCCUUGAAGCCAGUUGCAGGAAUAACCCAUUCGCCAUCGCUUACUGAAUUACUCUGACCCCACUCCUCCUCCUGUACCAUCCCAGCUGUGAGGAGAUGUCAACAGCUGUGAACUUGUCUGUGGUACACCUGCCCUGCCAACGCUCCCUAAGUGAUGAACUAAUGGACUUUUCUCCAGCUGCAGCAGCCUGCAUGAGAAAAAGAGGAAUCAUUUCAGUGGAGCCUUGAAAAUAAUGGCAGAGAUUGAGGAAGAGUCACAAGCACAAGUGCUGUAUCCCGCUCCCCGCCGGGGCAGAGGCAGCUGGGUGAGCCAGAGACACUUUGAGCCUCCGUGGUGCCUGUGCAGGCUGGAACGUGUCU